rnacentral:rRNA from 1 species
AGAGUUUGAUCCUGGCUCAGGAUGAACGCUGGCGGCGUGCUUAACACAUGCAAGUCGAACGGAGUUUUUAAACGGAAGUUUUCGGAUGGAAGUUUAGAAACUUAGUGGCGGACGGGUGAGUAACGCGUGGGUAACCUGCCUCAUACAGGGGGAUAACAGUUAGAAAUGACUGCUAACACCGCAUGAUAUAGCGAAACCGCAUGAUUUUGCUAUCAAAUAUUUAUAGGUAUGAGAUGGGCCCGCGUCUGAUUAGCUAGUUGGUGGGGUAAAAGCCUACCAAGGCGACGAUCAGUAGCCGGCUUGAGAGAGUGACCGGCCACAUUGGGACUGAGACACGGCCCAAACUCCUACGGGAGGCAGCAGUGGGGAAUAUUGGACAAUGGGGGAAACCCUGAUCCAGCGACGCCGCGUGAGUGAAGAAGUAUUUCGGUAUGUAAAGCUCUAUCAGCAGGGAAGAUAAUGACAGUACCUGACUAAGAAGCCCCGGCUAACUACGUGCCAGCAGCCGCGGUAAUACGUAGGGGGCAAGCGUUAUCCGGAUUACUGGGUGUAAAGGGAGCGUAGGUGGCUAGGUAAGUCAGAUGUGAAAGCCCGGGGCUCAACCCCGGGAUUGCAUUUGAAACUAUUUAGCUAGAGUGCAGGAGAGGUAAGUGGAAUUCCUAGUGUAGCGGUGAAAUGCGUAGAUAUUAGGAGGAACACCAGUGGCGAAGGCGGCUUACUGGACUGUAACUGACACUGAGGCUCGAAAGCGUGGGGAGCAAACAGGAUUAGAUACCCUGGUAGUCCACGCCGUAA